UGGGGAAUUUUGGACAAUGGGGGAAACCCUGAUCCAGCCAUCCCGCGUGUGCGAUGAAGGCCUUCGGGUUGUAAAGCACUUUUGGCAGGAAAGAAACGUCAUGGGUUAAUACCCCGUGAAACUGACGGUACCUGCAGAAUAAGCACCGGCUAACUACGUGCCAGCAGCCGCGGUAAUACGUAGGGUGCAAGCGUUAAUCGGAAUUACUGGGCGUAAAGCGUGCGCAGGCGGUUCGGAAAGAAAGAUGUGAAAUCCCAGAGCUCAACUUUGGAACUGCAUUUUUAACUGCCGGGCUAGAGUGUGUCAGAGGGAGGUGGAAUUCCGCGUGUAGCAGUGAAAUGCGUAGAUAUGCGGAGGAACACCGAUGGCGAAGGCAGCCUCCUGGGAUAACACUGACGCUCAUGCACGAAAGCGUGAGGAGCAAACAGG
rnacentral:rRNA from 1 species